AGGGAAUAGAUACCCGGGUAGUCCACGCCGUAAACGAUGAAUACUAGGUGUAGGGGUUGUCAUGACCUCUGUGCCGCCGCUAAACGCAUUAAGUAUUCCGCCUGGGGAGUACGGUCGCAAGAUUAAAAACUCAAAGGAAUUGACGGGGGUCCCGGCACAAGCAGCGGAGCAUGUGGUUUAAAAUUUCGAAGCAACGCGAAGAACCUUACCCUAGACUUGACAUCUCCUGAAUUACCCUUAACUCGGGGAAGCCCUUCGGGUCGAGGAAGACAGGUGGUGCAUGGUUGUCGUCAGCUCGUGUCGUGAGAUGUUGGGUUAAGU
rnacentral:rRNA from 1 species